UACAGAGGGGGCAAGCGUUGUUCGGAAUUACUGGGCGUAAAGGGCGCGUAGGCGGCUCGCUAAGUCGAACGUGAAAUCCCCGAGCUCAACUCGGGAACUGCGUCCGAUACUGGCGGGCUUGAAUCCGGGAGAGGGAUGCGGAAUUCCAGGUGUAGCGGUGAAAUGCGUAGAUAUCGAGAGGAACACCUGCGGCGAAGGCGGGUUGCUGGGCUGACACUGACGCUGAUGCGCGAAAGCUAGGGGAGCGAACGGG
rnacentral:rRNA from 1 species